rnacentral:rRNA from 1 species
UACGUAGGUGGCGAGCGUUGUCCGGAAUUACUGGGCGUAAAGGGCGUGUAGGCGGCCUGUUAAGUCAGAUGUGAAAUCUUUGGGCUUAACCCAAAAACUGCAUUUGAAACUGGCGGGCUUGAGGACCGGAGAGGGCAGUGGAAUUCCCAGUGUAGCGGUGAAAUGCGUAGAUAUUGGGAGGAACACCAGUGGCGAAGGCGGCUGCCUGGACGGCACCUGACGCUGAGGCGCGAAAGCUAGGGGAGCAAACGGG